ACCUAGCCUUGUGCAUGGCAUCACUUUGCACUGAUCCUGAUCGAAAAUCUACUGCUUUCUAACAAGCUGCCUCAAUUGUGCACACAUACUAUCCCGACUUACAGUUUUCCUGCACAAAUUCGCAAAUGAAAAUACUCCUCUCCCUUGGUAUCUCUUAUUCAUGGGAAAUGAAGUAAUUCAAUGAAGAUUUUGAGUUUUUCUGGAUGAAUUCACAAAUGAAAUUAUUCUCA